AUUAACCAUAAAAGAAAAAACAGUAGAACACCAAAGACCUAGAUUUACAUGUAGGAAAUUGAUCAGGCAUUUCCCACCAAGCCACACUGAUUGGGUGCAAGUAAAUUAUUAAAAAAAAAAAAAAA